rnacentral:piRNA from 1 species
UCCUGUGCGUCCCCACUUUGGUGGAAUGU